rnacentral:lncRNA from 1 species
UCUUGGAGUUCUUUGUGAGCUCCUUGUUCUUCCUCUCAUAUUUCUCCAUAGCUUUUGUUGUUGUGGAGGGAUUUAAGUGUGAGGGACUUGGCCACUUCGUGUGUUCUUACCAUUGCAUUAGUUGCAUCGGUUUGAGUUUUCCACGGUGAUACGUGGAAGUGAAGUUUGAGAAUCUUAUCACCUUUUGGUACUUGGUACCCUAGAGAUUUUUCUUCGGGGCUGCUUUGGCGUCCUAGAAGCUUGGUGGUGCCUUGGAGCUCAAUCAUUGUGGUGUAAAGCUCAGAGCAAGCGUCAGGGUCUCCAAUUAGGUUGUGGAGAUUGCCCCGAGCAAUUUGUACGGGUACCGGUGACCGCCCCCAAGGGUUGCCAUUUGUACGGGUUAGGUGACCACCCUCAAGGGUCCCUUAGUGGAAUCACGACAUCUUGCAUUGUGCAAGGGCGUGAGGAGAUUACGGUGGCCUUAGUGGCAUCUUGGGGAGCAUUGCGCCUCCACACCGCUCCAACGGAGAUUAGCAUCCGCAAGGGUGUGAACUUCGGGAUACAUCAUCAUCUCCGCAUGCCUCGGUUAUCUCUUACCCGAACCCUUUACUUAUGCACUUUACUUUGUGAUAGCCAUAUUGUUUCUUGUCAUAUAUCUUGCUAUCACUUAGUUGUUUAUCUUGCUUAGCAUAAGUUGUUGGUGCACAUAGUUGAGCCUAGUUGUUUUAGAUUUUGUGCUUGACAAAUUAAACGUUAGUUUUAUUCCGCAUUUGUUCAAGCCUAAACCGUAAUUAUUUUAAAGCGCCUAUUCACCAUCCCUCUAGGCGACAUCCACGUCCUUUCAGGCACUGGAUGCACUUACAGAAUCAUCAUAAUUUACUUACCUUGUGAGCCAAUUCCAGUUUGAUUUACUUACCAAACUUCUUAUCAAAAUAAAAUGUAAAUCAUGAACAUAAUUUAAUAAAUAUAUAUCUACACAAUCACAUUACAAACAUAUAAAUCACAAGCUACCAUAUUAAAUAUGGAAAAAGCUUGUAAUCACACGACGGAUUGCAACUCCCGCAUCCGCCACCUUCCCCCAGACACCACGUGCCCCACGAACCACUACUACUAUAUUUUUAACUCGCCUGUUGUUGCAUUCUUACCAUCGCAGCAACUGGUAUAUUGCAGACCGAGGAAGACGAAGACGAGACGAUGAUAUCCAGAUCCCUGCAGCGCCGAACGAGAGAUGCACGUCACGUGACGCUUCAAUGUUGGUGCCGACAACAACUGCCCACCUCGUUGGAUAGGAGGAUGGGGCGACGAGGUUGCAACCGAGGUCGGGCGCACAGGUUGUCAUUGCCGCAUGCCUCCACCACAGCUGUUGGCCAAGCACGGUGCGUCAACCUCGCCGGAGAGAAGGGUGCGAUGAGCGACAUGGCGAGAGAUUUCGACGCUCGCCGAUGGGCAGCGUUGCUAGUCCCUCACCGGAGACCUUUUUUUUGCAACAUCCUCCGUGUUGCAUGAAAGAUUCUGCAACAUCACUAAUGUUGCAAAACUUUCUUACGUCGAUAACUUUGUUGCAAAGAAAUCAACAACAAUAAUAGCUAGAUAACAAUACCUCUGUUACAAAAAAUCUGCAACACAUUCUCUGUUGCAAUUUUUUUACAAGACACCCUCUGCUGCAAAAAAAAUCUGUAAUACAAUCUCUGUUAUAAAUGUUUCUACAAUAAGGUCUUUGUUGCAAAGUAGAAAAAAGACGUUCAUCCCGAUAGAUCCGACGACUCGACGAGACGGUGGAUCUUUUAAAAAGAUCUGCCGACCGAUGCGUAGGAUCCCCAUUAAAAUAUUCAUAUCCCAUUGCAACGCACAUGCAUUGUCCUAGGUUUUUUAUGGACAGGCUUUGUCCUAGUCUUUUUUGAACAUCAAUAACUUAAUUCUUUAAAUAAUAGCUAGGUAUGGCAAUGGGUCGGGUUUGGAGCGGGUGGAGCUGGUCCAAAUCCAACCCAUGACCCAUAUUCGUACCCUCUAUCCAUCCACCAAAGUAUCCAUGGACACAAAAUGUGCCCAUGCCCAAACACAUCCAGAUAUCCAUGGAGCUCCAUGGGCAUAGAAAAAUCAACAUGAAGCCUUCCCAAAGAUCAAACUAACUCUUCAUCGUUUGUUAACAAAGAUUAGGUUUAAUAAUUAUGUUAGUGCAGUUGUGGGGGAUUAGGGAAGAUGGGUCAGACUUUGACCUUCUCUGACCACGAGUGACUUGGGGUUGGACAUUUUCUUAGUUUAGUGUCCCUACCAUAGGGGCCCAUGUGUCAUAUGGGUAUCCAUGGAGCAAAAAUUAAAACUGUGCCCAACCCAACUGUUCGUGGGUAUCCAUAUCCACGGAACCAUGGGCAGAAAUGCGCUCCAUACCCUUGCCCAACUGGGUCGGGUAUCCACGGGUAUCCAGAUCCAUGGAUAAAAUUGCCAUCCCUAAUAAUAGCCAUAUCAUUUAAGUUUGCGGAAGAAGAUAGUCUCGGGGUGAAGCGUCCCAAAACUGAAAAUAGUUAGAGUUAUAACAGUGUUUUGCCAAACAAUCAGCGACGAGAUUAGCUUCCCUAGUUAACACCAUAUAUGUGGAGAUAUCAAGAAAAAAGCACUCGGGGUGAAGUGUCCCAAAACUCAAAAGAGUUAAAGUUAUAGCAGUGUUUUGCCAAACAACCAGAAACGAAAUUAGCUUCCCUAUUAACAACAUAUAUAUGGAGAUAUAGAAAAAACACUGAGGGUGAAGCGUCCCAACACUCAAAAGAGUUAGAGUUAUAGCAGUGUUUUGCCAAACAAUCAGUGACAAGAUUAGCUUCCCUAGUUAACACCAUAUAUCUGGAGAUAUCAAGAAAAAAACACUAGUGGUGAAGCGUCCCAAAACUCAAAAGAAUUAGAGUUAUAACAGUGUUUUGCCAAAGGAAAACACUUUGGAUCAACCGACUGAUUUUACUCAAAAAUCAGCCGGGUCGCUGGCUCCUCACGUGUCCCUCUCAGCCACAUCUUUUCUUCCCACCUUAUCCCUUCCAGUGCUCUCUCCUUCACUCAUUCUCCUCCUCAUCUUAUUCCUCUUUUCCUUCCGUAGCAAUGAUGCUGAGAUGAAGCACGACGAGGGGCAGCCGGGGCUGGGAUGGAGCAGCACCAAUGCACGGGGGUGGCGUUGUAGUGAAGCUCCGUCGACGGCGCCGACGAGAUGUUGAGAUGGAGCCCGUAGUGCUGGUGUCGCGCUCCAAUGAAGCAUUGCCGGAGCUGUGAUCGGUCGUCGGUGCUGCAUUGGAGCAUCGCCACGCCAGUGUGGCGCUGCAAUGAAGCUUCAUCGGCGGCUGCAAUGGAGCUUCAUCGACGGCGCCAAGAGUUGCGACGCUGCGCCCUGAGCUGCAAUGGAGCUUUACCUACGGAGACGAGAGCUGCAAUGCAGCGCCCAAAGCUGCAAUGAAGCUUCACCGGCGGCACCAAGAUCUGCGAUGCAGCACCCGCGCUGCAAUGAAGCUCCACUCGCGCUGCAAUGAAGCUUCAUCACGACGAGCGAUCGUUGCUUGCGUUGACUAGAUCCAAAGUCCUUGUAGAACGCAUCUAAUGGCUGGGGACCCGAGUGAUUUCUUGGGAAAUCAGUCGGUUGAUCCGUAGCAGCCGCCUUUGCCAAACAAUCAGCGACGAGAUUAGCUUCCCUAUUAACACCAUAUACGUGGAGAUAUAAAAAAACAAAGGGUGUAGCGUCCCAAAAACUCAAAAGAGUCAGAGUUAUAGGAGUGUUUUGUCAAACAAUCAACGACGAGAUUAGCUUCCCUAAUUAACACCAUACAUAUAUGCGGAGAUAUAUAAAGAAAAAGGAAAACACUUAAAAACAACCGGCUGAUUUUUCACUCGCGUAAGCCGCGGCCGACGCCCGCCACGCGUCCCUGUUUGCUCGCUCAUCCUUUCCCUUAUCUCUUCCCCCACAAACUGGACCGCUCGUUCUUUUUCCUUCCUUUCUUCUUCCUUGAGCACACCGCACCACACACAAGUGCCAGUGCCUGCCAUCGUAGACCAUAGCCGCCGUUGCUGCUGCAAGCGGGCUUCACAAAGGACGGUGCUUUGAUGCAAUUCCAGUUGUCGGUCACCUCAUGCUGCUAUAGGCUAGGUUGGGAGGACGGUGCUGUCAUGGCCGACGGCGGAGCUGCGUUGCAGCAGGCGAUGCGCGGCGAGGUUGUUGCCAUAUUGAUGGCGGAGCUGCGUUGGAGGAGGAGGGGAUACGAGCAACUGCCAUGGCCCUCGACAGAGCUACGGGCAAUGCUGCAACGAAGCUUCGCGGGGGCAUCAAUGAAGCUUUGCCGAAGCUGCAACGAAGCUUCGUCGGGGCGUCAAUGAAGCUUCGCGGUGCUGCACUGAAGCUUCGUCGGGGCGUCAAUGAAGUUUCGCCGGUGCUGCACUGAAGCUUCGCGUGUGGCGUCGGUGCUCCAUUGCAGCUUCGUCUCGGUGCUGGGGUUGUUAUGAAGCUUUUGUCGAUGCUUGAUGUUGCCAUGGACAGCACCUGCAGCUUCGGAUGCAGCGCCAGAUCGUACGUCCCCUAGCGCCAAAUCUAACGGCUGGCUAGGCGGAUGAUUUCCUGGCCUGAUCCGUAGCAGCCCCCAAAGAAAAAACACCAUAUAUGUGGAACGGUGGUCAAUAAAAUAACCUAGAUUUACAACACAUCUGAACCGUCCGAUCCAGAUACUGAGGCACCUAUAGUAGUACUACUCAACCCCUCGUAUAGGAACCGGCAAAAUGAGUUCAGACCCCGUCAAAUUCCGUUCCCCUCUCACCCCGACCUGACCCACCGACCCCUCGCCGGCCCACCGCCACAGGUCGCCGCAAUGGCGUACAACUCUUCGCGCGCGCGCCUCUCGCCGCCAGCUCCCGCGGCCCCUCGCCCCAGGAAGCGCGGACGUUCUCCCUCAGCUCCCGGCGCGGCGGUGUGGCGCGCGUCCGCUGCAUACGUCGCUCCUUUCGACCACCGCCGCCGCUGGCAGAACCCUGCAGGCGCGUCUGGCCGCGUCUGGCAGGGGUACCGCGCGCCACAUACCCCGGUGCCCUCCCGGCAGUGGGUCUUCGCGGACGAGGCAUCCACCUCGGGAUCAGGUAUCCUGUUAGCUGCAUAGCUGUCGUUGUCGAGGAGAUUGGUUACCUUUGCUCACCACUUGUUUGUGUAUAGGUCUGGUAAAAAUUGGCCUUUGCAUUGGCUAUUUUACUAGUAAUACUGCACUACUGCUACCGGGAAAUAGUAAGGAGCUAGUUCAACCAAUUAGGUAGUGGAAGUUAUUUUCCAAAAGAAAAAAGUUCAGUGAAAGUCAAAAUCUUCUACCCAGCUAGUGCAAUCUCCCACAAAGUCAUGAUCUUCGUGUGUACUUCCCUUACAAAGUUGGAUCAGUUUGGCUUGUUGGCUUGGAAGUGUGUUGCUUAUCACAAAUUUGUAUCAGAUUGGGUGGAAUUGUGUUGCUGAGAUGGAGGCAUUCGUGCCUGUACUUAUGCUUUCUUUUGUUAGAUGCAUGCACAAUCAUGUCAUACAACAUCUUGGCGGAUAACAAUGCACGGAACCAUCCUGACCUUUACUUGGACGUCCCUUGGGAUGCUUUGAGAUGGGAUUCGAGGAGAAGGCUUAUUAUCCAUGAAAUUAGGCACUGGGACUCUGACUUAGUGUGUCUUCAGGCAAGAACUCAACCUGCAUAUUGGCGAUGUCAUCCUUCCACUGUACUCUGUAACACUUUAUGUUUGGAAAAUAGGAGGUGGAUAGAUUCCGGGAAAUUGCUGCAGAAAUGAAGAACAAAGGCUAUGAAUGUAGCUUUAAGGUAUAGCACUAUAACAUUUCUCUUUGAAAUUUCUGCCUUUCAAAUCUUAAGCUGAGUCCCGUGCCAUCCUCAGGGGCGCACUGGGGAUGCUAAAGAUGGAUGUGCUACCUUUUGGAAGUCAGAACGGUAUGACUAAUGCUACCCCUUCUCCGCUUGUUAUCUUUAUUGGUUGGAACAAAGCAGCAAUUUUAUCCUUUCUGUUUGUUUGAACUGUAGGUUACGUCUGCUUGAGGAAGAUAGUAUUGACUUUAGUGAAUUCAAUCUACGAAAUAAUGUUGCUCAAGUAUUAGUUUUUGAGGUACUUGGAUUUACAUCAAAGCACUAGUUGGUUCAGUUCAUUAACUAAAGUAAGGAGUAAUUUCUCAUCCAUCCUGGUAAGAGUUAGCAGAUAAUCGCUUGGCUUCUUCUGCUAUUAAUGCUUUCCCUAUUUGAUAUGGGCCUGAGACCCAAAUAAUGGGUAGAACUAGCAGGAAAUAGAGAAGGAGGGGAUAUCUUUUUUUCUGUGAUAGUUCCAUCUUUUCUCUGUGAGUCGAAUAGCUCUAUCUGGAAACAUGCACCAUGUAUUAUUAUAAUUUUAGCACUGUCUUGUGACUCCCUUUACAUUGUGUAAAUGAACCAAAUGAUGUACUACAAUCGUGCAUUUUCUGAAUAGCCUCCCAGCUACCAUCUUUUGUAUAUUUUUUCUUCUUAUUCAGGUCUCUGCUAAGUAACCAAUGUUUUACUGUUGGAAGAAAAUGGUUAUAUUUAUUUUUCUUCUGACAUGUUUCCUUUUCAGCUUAACGGAACCCAAAAAUUUGUACUCGGGAAUAUCCAUGUUUUGUUUAAUCCAAAGCGUGGAGAUGUAAAAAUGGGACAGGUAUGUCAGUUCAGAUAAAAUCAGCAUCAUUUGUUUCAUGCAUAUCUAAUAUCAUUGUGUAGUCGUGUCUCAAGAUGGUCUGCAUAAUCCUCAUUAGCUGAUAGGAAUGUAAUGCACAGUUUGAAAUGACUGUUGGCCACUUCAAAUUUGACAGAUAUCUAUUUACUCCUUCCAACUUUACCCAAAUUAUUGUUUACUCCUGAUUCUCCUUCCUCCAGAUCCGCAUGCUACUGGAGAGGGCGAAUGCUCUUGCUGGAAAAUGGGAUGGAAUUCCUAUUGUGCUUGCUGGUGAUUUUAACAGCACACCUGAAGUAUGUUUUAGUUGCUUCCUUGCAUAUAUGUGCCUUAAGAUUCUCACAUAAAGAUAAUUACUUGUAACAAGUGUUUAGUUUCUGGAACUGAGAUGACAUGUUACCGCUCAUGAGUGAUAGUGCUUUAGAUUGAACGCGGGUGUUGGAUGGUACAAUUAGGGUAUUAAGUUGUAAAUAGGUUUUUUUUUUAUUGAAAUGUGGUAUCUUGUGAUUUAGAGCUAACAUUUUUCUUUCAUUGGUUCUAACUUUUCUUUUUUCUCUUCCUUGGACCAGAGUGCCAUCUAUAAGUUCUUGUCGACAAUGAAGGUGAAAUAUUGCAUUAGAUAUUUCUUGCAUAUCCCCAAAGUUAUAGUCUGGUUAUUAUAGAACUGAUUUACAAUGCAUACAAUGUGCUCUUUUUGGUGUGACCAGCUGAACGUUUCUUUGCAUGAUAGAAGGCAGUUGUCUGGACUGGAUAGCUCUGAAUUUGGUUUGUAUUGUAGGUUAGAAUUCUUUCUUGUCAGAUUUUAGUUGACCUAGCACAUUUGUCCAUUUUAAGAUUUUUAUCUACCUUCCUUGUAGUUUACUGAACUUUGAAUGGAGUGACGAAGAAGUGAGAAAUGCGACAGGGUCCUCAAAUGUCAUGGUCGCUAGACAUCCGUUGAAGCUUUCUAGCUCUUAUGCUAUGUUGAAGGUAGUAUUUAUUUUCUAGUAGAAACUGAAGCACUCUCUUCGACUAUUCGACAUAUAGUUGAAAUGAAGAGCCGGUUUAUUUUAGGGAAAUUCAAGCAAUAGGGGUCAUCAUGGUGAACCUCUAGCAACGUCAUAUCACAAGAAGUUUCUGGGGACUGUUGAUUAUUUGUGGUACGCUUCUAAACGUGUCUGCAUCUAUUAUACACAUAUACAAUAUGGCUGAGUCUCGUUGUUGAAGGUAUACUCCUGGACUUGAAUGCUCCAGAGUUUUGGACACACUACCUGUGGAUGCUUUGAAGAGGACAAGGGGUCUUCCAACCAGGGUACUUCCUAUUUUAAUGCAUCAUACUAUUUAGACAAAUCUGUAUGUGAAAAAGGACUAUAUGUUUAAACUUUGGGCUUGGGCAAUGUCAUGAUUCGAGUUUUGGCCGUAAAUUUCCUGUUAUACAUAAUGCUCAUAUUUGACCGCUAACAACGAUGUCAUGCUGAAAAAUCAUCAGGAAAUGGGCAGUGAUCAUCUGCCAAUUGUUGCUGAAUUCAUCUUCUCGGAACAGACCAGAUAUUCAUCCGAGCAAGGAGAUGAAUCCGACCAAGAUGAAUCUGAGCCAGACGAUGAGCCUACACGAGAAGCAACCACAGCAAAACACAUAUAUUUCUCCUCAGACAGUGACAGUUCGGCUGAUGCAAGUUAAUUAUUCAGUUGGUAGGAAAAGUUUAGGAUAUAUGACUUGGAGGACAGGGGCGCUGUACGAACUUCAUGGCGGUGACCAUACCAUUCAUGAUUCAGAUGCAGAAAUUAUCUUGGCCAUUGUAAGGCUCACGCCAUAUCCUUGAAUGAAUGUGCAAGGUGUGUUGCCAGAACCUGUAGUGUUGUAAUUCCUGUAGUGGAUUCCAGUCCUGCUGCUUCAGGAUGCUGAUACGGAUCAGAAUCAGGUGUAGGAAGCUGAUGUCUCCAGACUCAAGUGCCAAGAUUGUGGCCGAACGAGUGUUCUCCACGAGCUAUACAAACAAGUAGGUUAAGGACAAGGAAAGAAAAACAAUUAGUAUUGGCAGUUUAGCAUUUACUAGUACUCAAAGUGUAUUUAUUCUCCACUUUUGCGCAGAAUAUUGACACGCUAUCGUAAUGAUUUAACGUGCAGUAUGUACAUGCCGACUGUAGUGUACUCGUUCGGUCUAUGCCUAUAUACUCGCUCGUUUGACACUAACUGGCAAGCGUUCACUGGGACGGGAUUGGCAAGCGAACAUUUCUAAUGACGUUUUUAGGUGAUAGCAGUUGGUAGUUUCUGCCUGUUUUCGCCUCAAAAAUUCUUUCUAUUUGGAAACUGUCAUGUCUCUCUGAAAAAUUGUCAUGCGUCACUGAAUAAACUACUUGUAAAAACGUUGGCAAACGCUACCCCUCAUUGUGAACGUUCGCUGGCUAUUGGGGUCCUUGACACUAUUGGUUGAGGAUCCCGCUUUUAGAUUGGUGUAGGAGCAGGAGACUAACCAAACUUGCAUAUAUCCUGUAAUAAGUUAGGAAUUACAAAGUUCACGUGAAGUACAAAGCAUCUCAAACAUAAAAAUUACAUUGAGAUUAUGAGACCACUGAACAAAGCAUCUCCAACAUAAAAAUUAUAUUGAGAUUAUGAGACCAAUGUAUGACGGCUAGCUAUAUACUCGCUCGUUUGACACUAUUGUUUGAAGAUCCUGCUUUUAGACUGCUCGCAGUAGGAUACUAACCAAACAUUCCAUAUAUUCUGCAAUAAAUGAGGAAUUGCCGUCAUCGAGGAGGUCAGGCAGGCUUUAGUAAGGGGGCGGUGCGUCGGCGGCUUGUCCUGAUGGUGGUAGUGGUCGUUUGAUGAUCCAUUGACCUGUAGAUGCAAAAAAUUUUAUGUGUGUUAUAUAUGUUUUAUUUUGUACUCCCUCUGUAAACUAAUAUAAAAGCAUUUAGAUCACUAUUUUAGUUAUCUAAACACUCUUAUAUUAGUUUACAGAGGUAAUACUUAUGGACUUUUGUAUUAGAUCGAGUCCUUUGUGUAAAAAAAGAAACUAGAAAUUGCAGCAAUAGCAAACACACAGAUGCAGAGGCUGAGUACUAGCACUAGCAAAAUGCAGAUCGACCUUGCAUUCCCCAACCGUCAAAUCCGCAGUCCGCACUCAUCAGGCACCAACCAAAGAAAUGCCUGGUACGGGAGGGCAGGGAGGCCAUCUAUGGAUUUGAAGAUAGGGAGGCGGCCAAUCAGAGCCAAGCGGCCGGCCACGUCACCGCUCCGAGGGACCAAGACGCGGGCGAGCGCGGCCGCACAAGAGCCCCUCCUACACAACAAGCGUCCCAGCUUUUGUUGUUGUUGGGCGAGACACAGAGCGAGAGGCCGAGGAAGCGAUAGCUCUAGCGAUAAGGCACUGACGGAUCAAUGGCUGCCACGGCGUACUCCGUGGCCCUCCUCGGCGGGGCGCGCCUCCCCGCCGCCACCAGCAACGCCGCCCCACGCUCCUCCGCCCUCCUCCCGCGGCGCAACCUCCACCCGCUCCGCCUCCAAGGUGCACAUGCAUCCUAUGCUAUCUACGUACUAUCAGCCGGGUUUUUCCGGAGGAUUCUUUUGGCUCUGACGGCUUGGCCGAGCUUGCAGAUGCGCCGAGGCCGUCCCUGCUCCGCGUGAAGGCGGCCUCCGACGACACGUCGGCGAGCGGCGAUGAGAUCAUCGAGGACCUCAAGGGGAAG